GGGGGGGGGGGGGGGGGGGGGGGGGGGGGGGGGGGGGGGGGGGGGGGGGGGGGGGGGGGGGGGGGGGGGGGCGCGGGGAGGAAGGGCAGGACAAUGGGCGCACGUCGGGACGGGCAGUUGCCCGUCGCCCGGGAUGGGGGUCCCUCGGCUCCCCGGCAGGGAAGGGGAAGGCGGGUGGCAGGUGGCAGGUGGCAGCAGCGGGGAUGUGGGUCCUGGGCUGAGCUGAGAUUGCGGAUGGGGUUUCUUUCCUUUCCUGAUUUCUUUUUUCUCUUUUUCAAGGGCUUUGCUGUAAAUCAACCCAAGCUCCCUAGAGAGCGUCUCUGUACGGCUGGGCAUGAGGACAGGAAUGAAGCCAGGUGGAGCACAGCCCUGGUGGGGGGACCCUGCCCUCUACGGGGCAGUGAAUCACCCCCCCCCAAAUCGCACCCUCUACGGGGCAGUGAAUCACCCCCCCCCCAAAUCGCAUUUUAGGAUCCCUCCAGUCAAACCACCCACCAAAACCCUCUCCUCCCCAGCCACAGCAUCCCCAAGAGACUGCCGCCUCCCAGGAGCUGUGCCACGGGGAAGCAGAUUAGGAUGUGGCUACCCCAUCCCAAACUGCAGCUUUGAGAAAAGAGGGACCCAUUUCGGAGCUCUGCUCACUCGGAGCUCAGCAACCUCCUGCCACAGCAUGGCAGGAGUUAUUCAAAGGCGGGCGGAAGCGAGCGCAGCAACUGAAACAACAAUGAAAAGGAAACGGAGCUCGAAAAAUUCUCCGUUCAUAAAUCAACUGAACUGCAGGUGA
rnacentral:lncRNA from 12 species